AAACGCAUCCUUAAAGGUUCCUCAAACCAUCCCCCAAAUAUUUCCUACCAGCAAUGGAUCACACCGGGGAGCACCUCGACCCCGCAGCCUCGGCGUCCGCGUCCGCGCCCGCAUCCGUCGCGGAGGUCAACGCGUGGCUGGCUUCCCUGGCAGCGGAGGGCGGCGGAGUGGGAGGGCGCGGCGGUGGGGCGGUGGUCUCCGAGCUAUCGCUGGGCCCCGACCCCACGCCGCGCGGGGUAUCCUAUCUCCGCGCGCUCGCGGCGGCGUCGCAGGCGCGGUCCCACGCAGCCGGGAUCGCUGCUUCGGGGCUGCGCGCGCAGGCCGCGGAGUAUCAGGCGGAGGCAGCGCGCUUGCGGGAGGCGCUGGAGCGGGCCGGCCUUGCGCGGGACGCGCUCCCUCCGCCUGCUGCGUCGGCCGCGCGCGCCGUCGCCGCUGUCGCGAACCUCCUGGCCAUCCGCGACACCGAGAUGAGCAGCUUCGUGGUGGCCAGUGCAGAUUUAUGGCUGAGGAGAGCAGAGGUGGAGGAGAAGAGGGACAAAGUGCAUAAAGAGUCAAAGGCACUUCUUGAUUACACAAGGAAGGCCAUCACCAAGCUUACCGAGCUCAAGAGGAUGCUGGAGAAAUUUAAAAAUGAUGUGGAGAAGCAACAAGUGGAGCAAACGGCAGACUGGCAGACAAAAUUGGUCAUGAUGGACUCGAAGGAGCGGCAAUAUAUCCUCCAAGUCUCAAAUUACAAGGCAAUGCUCAACAGAGUUGGAUACACGCCAGAAAUUAAUCAUUGUGUGUUGAUGGAAAUGGCGGAGCAUAAGAAGGAUCUUGAGAGGAAAACUAAACCCAUUGCCGACACAUUGCGUAGCUACCAGGAUUUGCCUCCAGAUAAAGCUCUCGCUGCGUUAGCUAUAGAGGACAAAAAGAGGCAGUAUGCAGCUGCAGAGAAGUACCUUGAAGAUGUGUUGCAAUCUGCUUUAACAACACCUGGUCUAUGAUGUGGGUUUAACUAAAUGUAAAGUUCUAUUCGGGUGUCUAAUGUCUUAGCAUGCAUUGAUAGUGUAAUAGUCAUUCAUUUUGUUGGAAGUUGUGACAUCGUUAUGUAUUCUUGUAAAAUCCAUAUUCUAGUGUUGUCCCAACUACGGCUAAUUUUCAUCAUCGAAACUAAAUUUUACGAGAGACAAUAGACACUUCCCCAGGGCAGUUUGACCUGUUGUAUUCUUGUUUUGUAUAAACACUUGUGAUUUUGGAUGGGCAUGAUAUUUGUAUAUUCUGUGAAAUGUGAUAAUCUACUGGAUUGAUAAAUAAUAACACGGUAUGCAUGAUCAUGUUUCGGUU
rnacentral:rRNA from 1 species